AUGCUGCUACUGCGGGUUGUGAAGGUGGAGGGCGACGUGGAUCUGGGCUUGAAGACCUCCCAUGAUUAUAUGGUACAUCUACCCUCACCUGAUUACGGUGAUGAGAUUAUUCUUACUCCUCCACUUGCACUCGAGGCGGUGAUCAGAUUCAGCAAGCGUAAUGUUCAAGAAUUCCAGGAGAACAUUGAUAUCAAGGCCAUGCAUCGCGCACAACAGAAAGAUCUAGAAGGUACUUCUCAUGUACCUUGUAAGAAUUCCUUUGCUGCCCUAAGUAAUAAUGAGCUAUUAAAUAGGGCCAAUGGGAUGGGGGUUAUCAUUCCUGAUGAUGAUUUUACAAGUGUUGAUGUGCUUAGAGAGCUGGAGAGGGUUAGAGAGAACCUUGACGAGAAGAAGAGAGCUAGGGAUAAUAUCCAGGACCUUACUGAUGAUAUUCUUGUGACCAAUGGGUUGGGUAAAAAGACUCAUGUUAAUCUGACUUGGCUAGAUCAGGAAGAGGUGCUGUAUGAGGAUAUUUCCUCCGGGAAAAAUAAAAAAACAAAAAGAAAUCUAUGGUGA
rnacentral:rRNA from 1 species